AUGCCCUCUGAUUUUGAAUCUAAUAUUAAAGAAUUUAUUUCUUCGCAAAAGAAUUUUAAUGCUAUGAUUGAAGAAAAAUUGCUUAAGAUUGAUGAUUUGGCUAGGAACGUUGAUAGAAUUGCUCUUGAUGUUGAUUCUUUGAAACUUAGAUCUAUUCCACCUAAGCAUGAUAUCAAUGAGUCUCUCAAAGCCAUGAGAAUUUCCAUUGAUGAGUGCAAGGAAAGAACCGCUAGGACGCGUGCUAUGAAAGAUGCCUUUAUUAAAGCGUGUUCUUCUAGUUCCUAUGAGAAUAAAGAUGAAGAUCUAAAAGUUAUUGAUGUGUCCCUAUUAAAUCUUUGUUUUGCAAUAUGA
rnacentral:rRNA from 1 species